AACCAUAGCCAAAUCAUGGAAAUAGCCUAAAAUGUCCAGCAACUGAAGAAUGGAUGGAGAAGAUGUGGUUUAUAUACACGAUGGACUACUACUUGGCAAUGAGAAAGAAUGAAAUCUGGCCAUUUGCAGCAA